GACCUUUUGGUCUCUGCAGGGGAAGGAAACGUCGCCGAGCAGCAAGUUGUCCAAAGGAGAAAUGGAAAAGGAAGAACAAAUUAAGGCAGGGCCCGAAGGGAGAAUAAAGGAGCAGGCCCGAGGGGAGGCGUCAGGAAUGGUAGUGAGGAAGAGGCUGAAAAUGGGAGGCGGGGGAAAGCGCCAGGCCCGUGGGGCAGGGGAGAAAACGCGGCAGACGCGCCACCGGCGACGCGAGGAACCCAGGGCUUUAAGGAAGGGGAAGGAAACAAGGAAGGAAAACGAGGCCCGCCGAGAGAAGGGAACGCGGCGCGGCCCGGCCCGUGGGCUCCGAGGCCCGAGGAGAAGCGGGAAGAACAGGCUGAGGGAGAGGCGCCGGGCGCGGCCGGCCUGAGAGGCCCGAAACCUGGCCCGCAAGAGACGACGCCUCGGCUCGGCUCGGCCUGCCCAGGAGCGGCGGGCCCGGGCCUAGUCGGGCUCCUUCUCGCCUCACACAAUGGCCGAGGCAUGCGGGCCGGGCCUGUACCUGCUCCAAGAGGCUGCUGGCCGACAUGGCUCUCAGAUCCUCACGGGCGGCGACGGCGGCGAACUCUCCUCAGCGCGGCGGCGGCGGCAGAUGAGCCCCGUCUGCGGGAGCAGGCGGAGGCUUUUGUCCCUGACACUCGGGGGCCUCGGCGGACGCAGCGGAGACACAGCGCGCGGCUCAGGCUCCGGCUCCGACUCGGCGACGCUCUAGCCCAAGAGCUCAAUGCCCGUCUCUAUGCUUUUACGCGCGCGCCCGCCCCCCACCGCCUAAAGCAGAGCGCCGAACAGCGGAGGCGGGCGGCGCGCGCGGCGCGAGCGCUGACUCUCACAUUCACUCACCCACGCGGAAGGGGCCCGGCGCGAAGAACCCCGGGAAGGGAGAGGCCGGCCGCUGCGCCCUCUGGCGGAUUGGAGGAGCGGAAGCCGUGCUCACGGCCUCCCCGCCCCCACCGCCCCAGGAUUAAGGCCUAGGGGGUUUGGGACGACCAGGGUCGCACCACGAGGUUUCGACUAACACCUGGAAAGACUAGCUCUGGCUUCAGAAGAACGACAAAAGCCGGUUUCUCAGUGAGGGAGGGGCCUCCGAAGCCCGCGAGACCUUAAAAUGAACCUGCCUUCCAGCUGCAAGUGAUACCCCACCCCCAUCUGGGAGGUAACCCGACCCCUAGGGAGUCACACAGUCCCCAGGGAAACUUCAUGGGGGCCCUGUCCGGGAGUGACCCGCCCCCGCCCCCGCGAGGGGCUUGGUCAUCCUCUGUUAGCCGACUACAGAAAGAGUACCCAGAGAGCAAAACACACACCGAAAGAAUCCAGUCUCCCGCAAAAGAGAUUCACCCCUUAGCAUUGCAGGAAGGAGAAUCUACAAUUUAUUUUCGGGGAAAUCGCUGGCCCCAAGAUAAUCUGUUAAAUUGUGGACUUUAUUUCCAAGAAAAAUACACCUCAUGCAUCUACACAAAACUUUCAAGGAGUCCGGAGAACCUAUGAAUCUUAAGGACCUCAAGAGGGAAGCAAGGAAAUUAACAUUAUUGAAAUACCAGCUGUGGGCCAGGCUUUGUUGUUAGGUAUUUUCAAACACAUUAAAGUCUUUCGACAACUUCAAAAUCGC
ensembl:lncRNA novel transcript, antisense to YTHDF2